CGUGGUUUAUGGAUGGUCCCUAAGGCGCAAAUUUCCCAGUGUGUAUCAGUUUUAUUUUUGCGUGAACCUGGUCCAAUUCCCGCUGACUGAAGUGUUUAUUUAUGUGGGAAACUGCAGCCUAAUACAUCAGUUGUCUGGCGCGCAUCCUGGAAAUCGACGAGAAAAAUGCAAGAAUAACAUCAAAGUGUCACACUCACACAUGAAACGCAACAGGAGAAAAAAAUCAAAGGAGGCACACCACCAAGUGUGUGGAGCAGUGAUAUGGAUGCACAUACGGAUCAACUUAUGAAAUAAAUGCAAUAUAUUUGGAGUGACCACCUCGUGGUGGAGCA